AGUGGGUCUUUGAAUUUAAAUAAAAUAAACAUGUAUAUGCAACACAAAAUAUUUAUAUUCCUUGUGUAAACAUAAUUUAAUUGAUUAGGAUUAAAAUGUUUUGUUUGAAUGUAAAAUGAACACAUUAUUCUCACAUUAAUUAAAAUUGUUUGAAUUGAAUACUUAAAGCAAUAAAAUUGGGUUUGCACACAAACGGCACCUCCUGAGCAGCAGGGGCAGUAUAUCUCAAUGAGAAGGACAUCGAUUGCCAUAAAAGAAGAAUAAAGAUCGUUUGUUUUGGGCGCCAAAAUGAAGACUCAGCAGCAGUCAGUCAGUCAGAAGAACUCUCUCAGACGGACACCACGUUAUUAAAGUCCAUCAUCCUUUCAUGCGCUACACAGCAUUGAUAAAUGCUGAAUUUAAAAGAAUCACUACUGUCUAAUGUUCCUGCGUGUCACCUGGACCUCCAAUCCAAAAACCUGACGAAACUCUUCUAUCAGAAAGGAUGACAGCUAGCAAAAAGACUUCAAACAAUUAAUGAUCAAAUGACAGAAGGCAUGGAUGAAGUCAGCAUCAGUGAGGUCAUAUGAAGACACCAAUGUUGGGAUUUGUGCUCUCAAACAACAUGCUUCUUGUGAUGAAGAAGAGGAUCUUUGUAUAGUCCUGGAAGCCAUGAAGGUGUUGCAACAUCGUGUUUGAGCUGAUGUAUGCCUUAAACCUGAUCUCCGCUUUAUUUUUGAGGAAAUCCAAACUGCAUUGAGCGUAACUUUAACGAACAGUUUCUUUCAGUGAAAGGAUCAGAAAGACUGUGCUGCUCAUUUUUGAAUUUUUUAUCUGUUUUAAGUGUUUUCUCUUAUUAAUGCAUUAACAGUUUGCUGCUCAGAGUCGAUUUUGGAAAUGGUUGUUGUAUUUUAUUUUAUUUUUUUUGAAUCUUUGAUUAACAGUUUAUAAAUGCUGUAGCUCUGACUUUCUGAAGGAGUGAUAUUUUCCAGUUUGUAAAUCCAUUUUAUAAAUAAUAGUACUUACUGUUUUGCAUGUCUCUUUGGAAUGCAGUGUUUGUGCUUUAGCACUUCUAAAUCUACUGUGAUAGUAACUAUUUUAAACAUCUGGGUGACUGGGUCAGUUUCACAGAUGGGGCUUUUCCUAGUCACAGACUUUUGCAAUGCCAUAUAUCAGUGCCAUUGUUUUGUCUA